rnacentral:rRNA from 1 species
AACGAACGCUGGCGGCAGGCCUAACACAUGCAAGUCGAGCGGACCCUUCGGGGUUAGCGGCGGACGGGUGAGUAACGCGUGGGAAUAUGCCCUUCUCUACGGAAUAGUCCUGGGAAACUGGGGGUAAUACCGUAUACGCCCUUUGGGGGAAAGAUUUAUCGGGGAAGGAUUAGCCCGCGUUGGAUUAGGUAGUUGGUGGGGUAAUGGCCUACCAAGCCGACGAUCCAUAGCUGGUUCGAGAGGAUGAUCAGCCACACUGGGACUGAGACACGGCCCAGACCCUGGCGGUGGGCAGCGGCCGGGAAUCUUGGGGAAGGGGCGAAAGGGUGAUCUAGCAAUACGGGGUCAGCCAUGAAGUCCCCAGGGCUGUAAAGUGAUGUUGUCUUGAGAGUAAAACAGCUCUUUCAUACGGGAAUAUUAUGACGGUACCCAAAGAAGAAGCCCCGGCUAACUCCGUG